rnacentral:rRNA from 1 species
GGGGAUGACGUCAAGUCCUCAUGGCCCUUAUGGGUAGGGCUUCACACGUCAUACAAUGGUCGGUACAGAGGGUUGCCAAGCCGCGAGGCGGAGCCAAUCCCACAAAGCCGAUCGUAGUCCGGAUUGUUCUCUGCAACUCGAGAGCAUGAAGUCGGAAUCGCUAGUAAUCGCAGGUCAGCAUACUGCGGUGAAUACGUUCCCGGGUCUU